UCAUCAUUCCUUGAAGACAGUGGAACGUCCACGAAAAGAGCUUAGUGAAUACGCAGUUUGUGAUGAAAUCUUUUCAUGAAUCCCAGGUUUUCUGGGGAGAUCGUCGCCAUUUCAGAUGAUAACAAGAGCUGUGUACACUGAUGGGGGGAAAAACAGACAGAAACAACAGAUGAAGAAGUUUCAGCUCCAGCUCAUGAGUCUGUUAUAGUGGUCCAUGAACCUCCCCCUCAACCCCCUGCUGCAAAGAGAAUUAGUGCCGAAAACAAAUCAAACAAAGAUGGAGCUUAUACCUGGGGCUGGGGUUUAUGUGUAUCCCAAACACAUAAAAACCGCACAGAGGAAGACGAAGGGGAACAGGUCGCCAGAUAUUUGAUGUCAGUGUUCUUCACCAACACUGAGCUGGUCAACCUGGGAAAGGUUUGAACCAGAGCAUUGUUGGAGCAAUAAUUGAUUAUGCUGAGGCAAUUCAUGGGAAAAGUGGCCUGUCAGAAAUCAAGUUUUCAAUGAGGACAAAAAUCAGUGCUUUGGUCAGCUUGGCCAGGAGGAACUCAACCACAUAGAACAAAUGAGAGAUUUCAAAUUUUAAGAACUAUUAAUAUGAUUGUUUGUUGUAACUUUACAAGAGAUAUUCUAUUAAUGAUUAUUUUAGGAAUGGUUAUGUGAAAUAGUUGUGAAUACAAGAGAAUAAAAGUGAGUAUGCUAGUGUCAGAACUGGAGAGAGUCAUAGUCAAUGCAGGGCACUUCCUGGAAGUCAACAUGAGAGUAUAUUUAUUACAUUAUUGUGUAUUAUAUUGUAAAAUAAUAGUAACUACAGAAAGUAUUUAUAUAAUAGUAACUACAAGAAAAUAUUUAUAGUGUAGUAAGUGCAAGAGAAUAUCUAUAUGAUAAAUAGUAACUUCAAGAAAAUACUUAUAUAAUAGUAGCUAAAAGAAAAUAUUUAUUCAUAUAUUAGUAA